rnacentral:rRNA from 1 species
GAUGAACGCUGGCGGCGUGCCUAAUACAUGCAAGUCGAGCGAACAGACGAGGAGCUUGCUCCUCUGACGUUAGCGGCGGACGGGUGAGUAACACGUGGAUAACCUACCUAUAAGACUGGGAUAACUUCGGGAAACCGGAGCUAAUACCGGAUAAUAUAUUGAACCGCAUGGUUCAAUAGUGAAAGACGGUUUUGCUGUCACUUAUAGAUGGAUCCGCGCCGCAUUAGCUAGUUGGUAAGGUAACGGCUUACCAAGGCAACGAUGCGUAGCCGACCUGAGAGGGUGAUCGGCCACACUGGAACUGAGACACGGUCCAGACUCCUACGGGAGGCAGCAGUAUGGAAUCUUCCGCAAUGGGCGAAAGCUUGACGGAGCAACGCCGCGUGGGUGAUGAAGGUCUUCGGAUCGUAAAACUCUGUUAUUAGGGAAGAACAAAUGUGUAAGUAACUAUGCACGUCUUGACGGUACCUAAUCAGAAAGCCACGGCUAACUACGUG